AGUGAGCGCUGGCGGUAGGCCUAACACAUGCAAGUCGAACGGCAGCACAGUAAGAGCUUGCUCUUACGGGUGGCGAGUGGCGGACGGGUGAGGAAUACAUCGGAAUCUACUUUUUCGUGGGGGAUAACGUAGGGAAACUUACGCUAAUACCGCAUACGACCUACGGGUGAAAGCAGGGGAUCUUCGGACCUUGCGCGAUUGAAUGAGCCGAUGUCGGAUUAGCUAGUUGGCGGGGUAAAGGCCCACCAAGGCGACGAUCCGUAGCUGGUCUGAGAGGAUGAUCAGCCACACUGGAACUGAGACACGGUCCAGACUCCUACGGGAGGCAACAGUGGGGAAUAUUGGACAAUGGGCGCAAGCCUGAUCCAGCCAUACCGCGUGGGUGAAGAAGGCCUUCGGGUUGUAAAGCCCUUUUGUUGGGAAAGAAAAGCAGCAGGUUAAUACCCCGCUGUUCUGACGGUACCCAAAGAAUAAGCACCGGCUAACUUCGUG
rnacentral:rRNA from 1 species